UGAAAAGUGCAUAAAGAAUAACAACUGGACAACAUUGAAGAUCAAGUCAAUUUGUGGAAGCAGUUAAGCAAAUAUGUAUGAAAUUCAAUCCGAAGAAGCCGAGGCCAAUAAAUUGAAUUCUCCAUGCUAGUGCAAACAAAGAAGAAAUUUAAAGCUAAAGUGGCCUGCACGUGAGAAGCAAUUGCAUGGCAUUACAAAAAGAAUGAAAAUUUCAAGUGGGCUCCACGUGCAUGGGCUCAAAGUCGGUUGUGCUUGGCUUGUUUUAAAUCCUUUUGAUUUGAGGAUUUUGGAGGGUGUUACAAUAUAAAAGCCGAACUUUGGCUUUUGC
rnacentral:lncRNA from 1 species